GACGAACGCUGCGGGCGUGCUUUACCACAUGCAAGUCGAACGAAGAGCGAUGAAAGCUUUGCUUCUAUCAUUCUUAGUGGCGAACGGGUGAGUAACGCGUAAUCAACCUGCCCUUCAGAGGGGGACAACAGUUGAAACGACUGCUAAUACCGCAUACGAUCUGACCUCGGCAUCGAGGAUAGAUGAAAGGUGGCCUCUACAUGUAAGCUAUCACUGAAGGAGGGGAUUGCGUCUGAUUAGCUAGUUGGAGGGGUAACGGCCCACCAAGGCGAUGAUCAGUAGCCGGUCUGAGAGGAUGAACGGCCACAUUGGGACUGAGACACGGCCCAGACUCCUACGGGAGGCAGCAGUGGGGAAUCUUCCGCAAUGGACGAAAGUCUGACGGAGCAACGCCGCGUGAGUGAUGACGGCCUUCGGGUUGUAAAGCUCUGUUAAUCGGGACGAAAGGCCUUUUUGCGAAUAGUGAGAAGGAUUGACGGUACCGGAAUAGAAAGCCACGG
rnacentral:rRNA from 1 species